rnacentral:lncRNA from 1 species
CUUGAAACCUUUUUCAAUUGUGUUAUACACAUCAAACAUUUUGGAGAGUAUGUGGUUAUUGUUCACUAUAUAGUUUACAAUAAACUUAGUGAACGAUUAGGAUAGGGAAACAAAGGUGAAGUCCUUGCCUAGUUUCCGUCUCGUUUAAGUGGUUUAUCACUUCAACAUUCAAUGAUUCAAAAUCAUCAUAAGUCCAUGUUAAUGGACUAUUUUUGU